rnacentral:rRNA from 1 species
CCGACCGGCGCACGGGUGAGUAACACGUAUGGAACCUGCCCGCAGCAGGGGGAUAAGCGGAAGAAAUUCCGUCUAAUACCGCGUAACACCGCGGAGGGGCAUCCCUCGGCGGUUAAAGAUUCAUCGGCUGCGGAUGGCCAUGCGGCGCAUUAGCUAGUCGGCGGGGUAACGGCCCACCGAGGCGACGAUGCGUAGGGGUUCUGAGAGGAAGGUCCCCCACACUGGUACUGAGACACGGACCAGACUCCUACGGAAGGCAGCAG